rnacentral:rRNA from 1 species
UGGGGAAUAUUGGACAAUGGGCGCAAGCCUGAUCCAGCCAUGCCGCGUGAGUGAUGAAGGCCCUAGGGUUGUAAAGCUCUUUCACCGGUGAAGAUAAUGACGGUAACCGGAGAAGAAGCCCCGGCUAACUUCGUGCCAGCAGCCGCGGUAAUACGAAGGGGGCUAGCGUUGUUCGGAUUUACUGGGCGUAAAGCGCAUGUAGGCGGACUAUUAAGUCAGGGGUGAAAUCCCGGGGCUCAACCCCGGAACUGCCUUUGAUACUGGUAGUCUUGAGUUCGAGAGAGGUGAGUGGAAUUCCGAGUGUAGAGGUGAAAUUCGUAGAUAUUCGGAGGAACACCAGUGGCGAAGGCGGCUCACUGGCUCGAUACUGACGCUGAGGUGCGAAAGCGUGGGGAGCAAACAGG